UACUCCUACGGGAGGCAGCAGUGAGGAAUAUUGGACAAUGGGUUAGCGCCUGAUCCAGCCAUCCCGCGUGAAGGACGACGGCCCUAUGGGUUGUAAACUUCUUUUGUACAGGGAUAAACCUAGAUACGUGUAUUUAGCUGAAGGUACUGUACGAAUAAGCACCGGCUAACUCCGUGCCAGCAGCCGCGGUAAU
rnacentral:rRNA from 1 species